UACGUAGGGUCCGAGCGUUGUCCGGAAUUAUUGGGCGUAAAGGGCGCGUAGGCGGAUUUGUUAGUCAGGGGUGAAAUCCCGGGGCUCAACCCCGGAACUGCCUUUAAGACUGCAUCGCUUGAAUCCGGGAGAGGUGAGUGGAAUUCCGAGUGUAGAGGUGAAAUUCGUAGAUAUUCGGAAGAACACCGGUGGCGAAGGCGGCAUCCUGGACCGGUAUUGACGCUGAGGCGCGAAAGCCAGGGGAGCAAACGGGG
rnacentral:rRNA from 1 species